GCUAAAUUUCAAAAAAAAAAAAUCACAUGCUGGCAGGCUGCUCAUAUUUGAAGCUUAUGGAACCUCAAACUUGUAGCUGCAAUGUCUCCUCUUGGUUCUUUGAUUCCCUUCUUCUCCCCUUCAGAAAAUGUUAAUAGUUCCUCUUGGCUCUUAACCAGAGUUUUCUUAGCUGGAGGUGCUGAAUAGACUGGUACAACUGUGCGGAUGUGAACAGGUGGUGCGAUAAAAUUACCAGAAUUUGUAUUUCUUGUUGUCAAACUAUGCAUAAAAGGGCUUGAACUCUUUGGUCUGAGACCACAAGUAGAUAUAAAACCAGAUGUUGUACCUGUCACAGGAACUGCAGUUGUACAUGGUACAAAACCAUCCACUGGAAUGUUUUGUGGUCUAUUACUAGGCAUCAAGUGGAUCAGGCUGUGUGGGUUUUCUUUGACCUCAGCAGUGCUGAUAACUCCAGGUCUAAAUCUUUCAUCUGUGAGUCUGGGUGAAAGCAAGUAAUGCUGGCGCAUGCAGUUAUUUACUUUUUCAUUUCCCUGUAGUAUUUCUUGCAUCCUCUGUUCAGAAUGAUCCUUUAGAGAAGCCAGAGAAUUAGGAACUUUAACUGGAGACAGACCAGAUGCAUUUGUUGAGAACUCGGCUUUCCAACAAUCAGAAUCUCCAUCACUAUGAAGCCGCUUCUUUUCCACCAGAGGGUUUUCCUCUAUCUGUCGCAUGGAGACAUGGGAGACAUUACUAACUUGUAUAGGCAUUGGAUGACUUGCCAAACGGAGAAAUUGACUGAUUUCUGGAACAAGGCAGACAGGUUCUUGCUCCUGUGCUAGGCAAUGCCGUUGAUAAUUUGGCUGGAAUAUGGACUGAAUAAAUGGGAAAAUAUGAGGGUAUGGUAAAGAUGCAAGUGCCAAUAAAUGGUUCUGCUGUUGGGAUGCUCUUUGUUGGAGCCAAGUUGGGUACAAGGGCACUUCUCGGAAAAAGUGAGAGUAUGCCCACUUUUGGCACUCCAAAGAGUGCAAUGAUCUAAUACUACCAUUACUAUCACCACCAUAUUGGACAAUAUCCCCCUGAAAAGCAGCAGAGCCUGGACCAGACUGCCGGUCUCUUUGUGCUGACUUCUUUUUCACUGGUGGUCGCAGUAUAGAAAGAUAACGAGCAACAGUUACUUGUUCUUGUUCAUCAUUGCCUUCAAAUACUCGUAAAGGAUGAGAAGAAUAGGAAGAGGAAGAAGAGCCAGGCUUUGACACUGUGCAAGCAUCACAAGUAGCAUCAGAUGGCAGUUAAGAUUUCAUAAACACUGAUACUUCCUGUUAUUAAAAAUCCUGCUGCUUAAGGAUUCAACUAUCUGACUGACAAAUCAAACAGUCAAUUUGUUAAGGAAAGUGGGAGCGGCAAUGUUCAUGCAAUUCAACUAGGUUAAGGAAAAAAAGAGGUGUUUUGAAAUCAAUCAAAAGAUUCUAAAGAUGUCAAAAGAGCCACUAGCAUCAAAAGCAAUAAUUUCAAUCACUGCAUACUUUAAGGAGAAAUUCAAGGUCAUUAUCUCCAAGCCCAAGCCAACUAAGUGAUUCUACCAAAAGUCAAAAUAUGCAUGGAAUUUAUACCUGGUAGUUCUUGGCUGAAACAUACCAGAACAACACGAAGAAGGUAACAAGAGGAAGAAAACACAUACACUCUUUCAAGGCAGACCAUGCAGUCAUUGCUGCAUUUUUCUGAGCUUGCUUCUUGGUUUUAGCUUGUUCUCCUGUAAAACUUAUUCCAGCAAGUUCUACGGUACAAGAAAAAACAGGAACAUGGCUUGGCCCAUAUCGAACUGUAGUAUAAACUGGAUUUUUCAAUCCAGCUCUGUGAGCAGUCUCUUGA
rnacentral:misc_RNA from 1 species